UUCUCCAUAUCAUGUAGUUAAAUGCCAUAAUAUUGACCUUCUUGGAUAUCAUUGGCUUGCAAUGGUUUGACGGUGGCCAAUCAUUUAAUUACUAGUGUAUUAGCAAUAUUCCUCUAGUGCAUGCAGAAACUCUACAUAAAUUGUUUGACUUGGCAAAAUGCAUACCCAUAGCUAUUGGUUUAACAUGUUCCAACAUUUCAAAGAAAACAUAUGUUUGAAGAGAUUUUUGUUACUUUGAGCAAUCCCAAUAAUUUGGUCACAAGGUCUGUACAUUUGUGGCUUAUUGUAUGUAAAAAAAGAGUUGAUCAAGGGGAGAGACGUCCCCUUGACUUCAGUCUUAAAAAGAGGCCCACCGAACCUGGGAACAGGCAGGAACCUCAAUACCUCAUGUGCGCACGCUUAUUUGGCAGCCGUGGAACUACAUUGUUUCAACCAGGGAAGUGGGCACACAACCAUGCAGCACGAGGGAUUGAACCCUGGUUGAGAGCUCCGCCCCUUUGGUUUCUCAACUACUAC
rnacentral:misc_RNA from 1 species